CAGGGCUGAGGUCUCUGGGAAGGCAGAGCUGUGGUCUAGAAGAAGAUGAGACUGCUGGGUCUUCUCCUGUGCCUGGUGACAGCCCCCCAAGGUGUCCUGUCCCAGGUGCAGCUGCAGGGGUGGGGCCCAGGACUGGUGAAGCCCUCUCAGACCCUCACCCUCACCUGUGCGGUCUAUGAAUUCUCCAUCACAACCAGUAGUUAUGACUGGAGCUGGAUCCGCCAGCCCCCAGGGAAGGGGCUGGAGUGGAUGGGGUGUAUAAAUCAUAACGGAGACACUAAGUACAGCUCCUCCCUCAAGAGCCGAAUCUCCAUCUCCAGAGACACGUCUAAGAACCAGUUCUCCCUGCAGCUGAGCUCCGUGACCACUGAGGACACGGCCUUGUAUUACUGUGUGUCCUGUCCAUCCCCUGUGCAACUGCUGGUGCAGCUGUCGGGCCCAGGACUGUGGUUGCUGGAGCUGAAUCAGCCAGCCCCCAGUGAAGUGGGGUCCACAUGUUAUGAUGGAAACACUUAUUACAGCCCCUCCUUCAAGCACCGGACCUCCAUUUCCAGAGACACUUCCAAUAACCAGUUCUCCCUGCAGCUGAGCUCCAUGACCACCGAGGACAUGGCCAUCUAUUACCACAGUGAGGGGAAGUCAGUGUGA